GACGAACGCUGGCGGCGUGCUUAACACAUGCAAGUCGAACGGAAAGGCCCUUCGGGGUACUCGAGUGGCGAACGGGCGAGUAACACGUGGGUGAUCUGCCCCGCACUUUGGGAUAAUCCCGGGAAACUGGGUCUAAUACUAAAUAGGACCACGCGCUUCAUGGUGUGUGGUGGAAAGCUUUUGCGGUGUGGGAUGGGCCCGCGGCCUAUCAGCUUGUUGGUGGGGUAUUGGCCUACGAAGGCGACGCCGGGUAGCCGGCCUGAGAGGGGGACCAGCCACACUGGGACUGAGAUACGGCGCAGACUGCUACGGGAGGCAGCAGUGGGGAAUAUUGCACAAUGGGCGCAAGCCUGAUGCGGCGACGCCGCGUGAGGGAUGACGGCCUUCGGGUUGUAAACCUCUUUCAAUAGGGACGAAGCGCAAGUGACGGUACCUAUAGAAGAAGCACCGGCCAACUACGUG
rnacentral:rRNA from 1 species